rnacentral:rRNA from 1 species
CAAUAGCGUAUAUUAAAGUUGUUGCAGUUAAAAGCUCGUAGUUGGAUUUCGGGGCCCGGCGGUCGUUAUCGUUUCCUGCUGGACUUGUCCUGUGGGGCGUGGCGGGCGUCGGUCUCUGAGUCGGAUCGGUCCGCCGAGAGGCGUGUACUGACCGACGGCCCCUGUUGUCUCUCGGGUUGCCCGGCCUGCCACUUAACUGUUGCGGACGGGGAGUUCGGGACGUUUACUUUGAACAAAUUUAGUAGUGUUCCAAGCAGGCCGAUUGCUUUGAAUACAUUAGCAUGGAAUAAUGGAAUAGGGCUGCGUGAGUUCGUUGCCUUCGGGUGGCGGGCCUCG